rnacentral:lncRNA from 1 species
AACUUUUGUAUUUUUAGUAGAGAUGACAUUUCGCCAUGUUGGCCAGGCUGGUCUCAGGUGAUCCUCCCACCUCGGCCUCCCAAAGUGCUGGGAUUACAGGCGUGAGCCACAGUGCCCAGCCGCGUUCUUUAUUACUAGAAAGAAAGUGAUUUUCCAAAUGUACAGCUAUCCUUUUAAAGUGUCACUUUCUGCCCAUUUCCCACAUAAGAGCAUAAAAUUAAUGCUUGUCCAGAGCAUACAGUAUUUGUUAUUGAUUCAUGUGCCUAUGGUUUUAUUACAUAUGUUUUUAAUAUGUUAGUAGUCAUUAAUUUUAAAUAAGUACCUUUAAAAAGAUAGGAAUUGUGAAAGUUUGUUUUGUGCCAACAGUCUUAUAUGCAUGUGAGUGCUUAAUACAUAUCUCUGGAUAGUGUGUUUAGUUUCAUGUAUCACAAAUGGCAACUAAUCUCAAAGCAGCAAAAUCUUAUCAAUUCCAAAGAAGAAACACAUGUUGGAGUCUACUAUAUAUCUAUUUCAAAUUGGUUGAAAUGAGGUUGUUUUCAGAUCAAUUGAAAAAAUGCUAAUAAUAGUUUUUUUUCUCAUGCCUGUUGUACUGAAAUCUUACUUGGAGUUAGGUUUUGCUUUAGAUUUUAAAGACAGCUCUUUGACCGAGCUUCUUUUAAGUUGUACAAAAAUUACUUCAACCAUUAGUGUUACUACUAACUUAAAGAACAGUAAUGUUGGCCGGGCGCGGUGGCUCACACCUGUAAUCCCAGCACUUUCGGAGGCCUAGGCCCAGGAUCACAAGGUCAAGAGAUCGAGACCAUCCUGGCCAACAUGGUGAAACCCCAUCUCUACUAAAAAAGUACAAAAAUUAUCUGAGCGUGGUGGCGCGCGCCUGUAGUCCCAGCUACUCAGGAGGCUGAGGCAGGAGAAUCGCUUGAACCCAGGAGGCGGAGGUUGCAGUGAGCGGAGAUUGUGCCACUGCAUUCCAUCUUG